rnacentral:lncRNA from 1 species
CGGCUAGUUUGCACACAUACUUAAACGUUAAAUCUAUUGACGAAUAUUUCAGUUUUGUAAUAUUAGUUUUCCUUAUCCGUUAAGUCCAGUCACGAGAUGUUGAACUCCGUGUGCUUCAUGAAGCUCUCUCUGCAAAAACUUUCUUGUGUGUGAGAAUGAAAGUUAAACACUACAAACAAAGAACCAGUGAGUCACGUGUCAUAAUUGACACACAAUUUACCAAUGAAAUCAAACAAAAUCGAUAGAUAAUAUCAUUCCAUCGACGAGAUGUCGCCCUUCCUCCGAUCAACGGGGUUUAUCAGCAGUUAAAUGUGACAAUUAUCACCUUUUACAGAAAGAUCUGGUCCGAAAAGAUCAAUAGAAGACCACCGCUAGUAUCAAUAUCCAUCAAUAUAAGGCACAAACAAUUAUCAUUUCUUUAUGAUUAAUAACAUCAUACAUUGUCUUAAAACAAUGCUCCCGUUGUCAUUUGAUUGUGUUGUUUUUAAAUACGCAAAACUAAAAUAAGUUAUCGAACUAUCAGUCAUUCGAUAUCUCAUUUAUCGCCUAUUCCAUCCUAAAAUUUUACAGCUCCCAUAUGUACUUUGACAGGAAUCGUAUUUUUUCUGUCAUGAUCAAAUAAGUUUUUAUUUUUUUUAUUUUUUAUUUUUUCUGCAAUAAUUACAUUUAACAUACUUUGCAUACUUUUUAAUUGAAAUAACAUUGAAACAAGAAUCGAUGUGACAAAGUCAUUUUGUUUUAACAUAAUUCAAG